AACAGGUUAUGCACGUAAAAAAAAGAAAAGAGAAAAAUAAUAAUUACAAAAAUAUGAAAUCAAAAUAAUAUGUAGAAACAUAUUAAUUCUAAAAAGAAUAACUGAAACUUAAUUGAGAGAAGAAACAAAAUCCAAGAGAUAACUUACAAGUAAAACAAAUUAUUGAAACAAAAUUUUGGGCUACAAUUAAUUGCGCAUAAAUGUCCGAGAUCUAAAAUUAAAAAUGCC
rnacentral:lncRNA from 1 species